ACCUGCGGAGGAUCAUUAUUGAAAUAUAAAAAGCUGUUGCUGGUCCUAGGACAUGUGCACGCUUGUCGUCUUUAUUUUUCCAACUGUGCACUUAUUGUAGACCGAGAGGUCUAUGUCUUUUUUACACACACAAAAAAGUACUUGGGGAAAAUGAUAAUGAUAAAAAAUAUACAACUUUCAGCAACGGAUCUCUUGGCUCUCGCAUCGAUGAAGAACGCAGCGAAACGCGAUAUGUAAUGUGAAUUGCAGAAUUCAGUGAAUCAUCGAAUCUUUGAACGCAUCUUGCGCUCCUUGGUAUUCCGAGGAGCAUGCCUGUUUGAGUGUCAUCAAGUUUCUCAACCGCAUCCUGGUGUGGGUGUGGCUUGGAUUUGGGAGAUUUAUGCUGGCUUCAUCUGUCGGCUCUCCUGAAAAGCAUUAGUGGUAUAUCAGGUGUGAUAAAUCGUCUAUGCCUUGCAUACUGCUUCCAACUUUGAUUGAUUGAUAAUCUUGACCUCAAAUCAGGUAGGACUACCCGCUGAACUUAAGCAUAUCAUAAGCCCGGAAGGAAAGAAA
rnacentral:rRNA from 1 species